rnacentral:rRNA from 1 species
GACGAACGCUGGCGGCGUGCUUAACACAUGCAAGUCGAACGAUGAAGCCUAGCUUGCUAGGUGGAUUAGUGGCGAACGGGUGAGUAAUACGUGAGUAACCUACCUUUAACUCUGGGAUAAGCCCGGGAAACUGGGUCUAAUACCGGAUACGACCAAUCUCCGCAUGGGGUGUUGGUGGAAAGCGUUAUGUAGUGGUUAUAGAUGGGCUCACGGCCUAUCAGCUUGUUGGUGAGGUAACGGCUCACCAAGGCGACGACGGGUAGCCGGCCUGAGAGGGUGACCGGCCACACUGGGACUAAGACACGGCCCAGACUCCUACGGGAGGCAGCAGUGGGGAAUAUUGCACAAUGGGCGCAAGCCUGAUGCAGCGACGCCGCGUGAGGGAUGACGGCCUUCGGGUUGUAAACCUCUGUUAGCAGGGAAGAAGAGAGAUUGACGGUACCUGCAGAGAAAGCGCCGGCUAACUACGUG